rnacentral:rRNA from 1 species
GAUGAACGCUGGCGGCGUGCCUAAUACAUGCAAGUCGAACGAAACUUCUUUAUCACCGAGUGCUUGCACUCACCGAUAAAGAGUUGAGUGGCGAACGGGUGAGUAACACGUGAGCAACCUGCCCAAAAGAGGGGGAUAACACUUGGAAACAGGUGCUAAUACCGCAUAACCAUAGUUACCGCAUGGUAACUAUGUAAAAGGUGGCUAUACUACCGCUUUUGGAUGGGCCCGCGGCGCAUUAGCUAGUUGGUAGGGUAAAGGCUUACCAAGGCAAUGAUGCGUAGCCGAAUUGAGAGGUUGAUCGGCCACAUUGGGACUGAGACACGGCCCAAACUCCUACGGGAGGCAGCAGUAGGGAAUCUUCCACAAUGGGCGAAAGCCUGAUGGAGCAACGCCGCGUGGGUGAAGAAGGUCUUCGGAUCGUAAAACCCUGUUGUUAGAGAAGAAAGUGCGUGAGAGUAACUGUUCACGUUUCGACGGUAUCUAACCAGAAAGCCACGGCUAACUACGUG